GCAUAUCAAUAAGCGGAGGAAAAGAAACCAACAGGGAUUGCCUCAGUAACGGCGAGUGAAGCGGCAACAGCUCAAAUUUGAAAUCUGGCCUCGGCCCGAGUUGUAAUUUGUAGAGGAAGCUUUGGGUGCGGCACCGACCGAGUCCCCUGGAACGGGGCGCCAUAGAGGGUGAGAGCCCCGUAUGGUUGGACGCCUAUCCUGUGUAAAGCUCCUUCGACGAGUCGAGUAGUUUGGGAAUGCUGCUCAAAAUGGGAGGUAAAUUUCUUCUAAAGCUAAAUAUUGGCCAGAGACCGAUAGCGCACAAGUAGAGUGAUCGAAAGAUGAAAAGCACUUUGAAAAGAGGGUUAAAUAGCACGUGAAAUUGUUGAAAGGGAAGCGCUUGUGACCAGACUUGCGCCUCGUCGAUCAUCCGGGGUUCUCCCCGGUGCACUCGGCGGGGCUCAGGCCAGCAUCGGUUUUCGCGGGGGGACAAAGGUCCCGGGAACGUAGCUCCUCCGGGAGUGUUAUAGCCCGGGGCGUAAUGCCCUCGCGGGGACCGAGGACCGCGCUUCGGCAAGGAUG
rnacentral:rRNA from 1 species